rnacentral:tRNA from 1 species
ACUCCAGUGGCGCAAUCGGUUAGCGCGCGGUACUUAUAAUGCCGAGGUUGUGAGUUCGAUCCUCACCUGGAGUA